AGAGUUUGAUCAUGGCUCAGGAUGAACGCUGGCAGCGUGCCUAACACAUGCAAGUCGAGCGAUCUUCUUCGGAAGAGAGCGGCGGACGGGUGAGUAACGCGUGGGUAACCUGCCUCAUACACAUGGAUAACAUACCGAAAGGUAUGCUAAUACAAGAUGAUAUAAGAGAUUCGCAUGGAUUUCUUAUCAAAGCUCCGGCGGUAUGAGAUGGACCCGCGUCUGAUUAGCUAGUUGGUAAGGUAACGGCUUACCAAGGCGACGAUCAGUAGCCGACCUGAGAGGGUGAUCGGCCACAUUGGAACUGAGACACGGUCCAAACUCCUACGGGAGGCAGCAGUGGGGAAUAUUGCACAAUGGGCGAAAGCCUGAUGCAGCAACGCCGCGUGAGCGAUGAAGGCCUUCGGGUCGUAAAGCUCUGUCCUCAAGGAAGAUAAUGACGGUACUUGAGGAGGAAGCCCCGGCUAACUACGUGCCAGCAGCCGCGGUAAUACGUAGGGGGCUAGCGUUAUCCGGAUUUACUGGGCGUAAAGGGUGCGUAGGUGGUUUCUUAAGUCAGGAGUGAAAGGCUACGGCUUAACCGUAGUAAGCUCUUGAAACUGGGAAACUUGAGUGCAGGAGAGGAAAGUGGAAUUCCUAGUGUAGCGGUGAAAUGCGUAGAUAUUAGGAGGAACACCAGUAGCGAAGGCGGCUUUCUGGACUGUAACUGACACUGAGGCACGAAAGCGUGGGGAGCAAACAGGAUUAGAUACCCUGAUAGUCCACGCCGUAAACGAUGAGUACUAGGUGUCGGGGGUUACCCCCCUCGGUGCCGCAGCUAACGCAUUAAGUACUCCGCCUGGGGAGUACGCUCGCAAGAGUGAAACUCAAAGGAAUUGACGG
rnacentral:rRNA from 1 species